rnacentral:lncRNA from 1 species
UGGAGUUGGAGACGAGAUCCGGCUCCCGUAGGAGUUCGGUCGAAGUCUACCUGCGAGUGAAGUCAUGGGCGAGGCUCGGCUCCCAUGGGAGUCUGGGUGAAGCCUUCCCGCAGUUGAGGUUGGGGACAAAGUCUGGCUCCCGUAGGAGUCCGGACUAAGUCUGCUUGUAGCUGGAGUUGGAGAUGAGAUUCGGCUCCCAUAGGAGUCCGGUCGAAGUCCACCUGCAAUCGAAGUUG